ACAGACACUCUAAAAGCUCAAGAGAUCAAUUAUUCAACUUCAAGAACUGAAUUUGAACACAGAUUUUGAGCUUCCAAAUCAGACUGCUGUUAAACUGGCUCACUCCAUAUACUCUGUGCCACAGCGAUUUAAUAUUUCAUUAAAAAGCAUUAAUGAUGGCUCCAGUGAAUUUCUCCUAUUCAAGCUCCAUAAUGGCAGCAAUUCAAGUGACUGUUGAUCUCUGAGUGAUGCAACACAAAAACAUCGCCUAACAAAGGGACACUUGGAGUGCUACUCAUAUUCUCUGCAACUUGAGAUUUGUGAACAGUGAAAUGAUAUGAUGGAAAACGUGUUGUGGAACUUUUAGGAAGAUUAAUCUAUCAACAGUAAGCAAGAUGGAGAGUAAAGAGAAGUAUCUGAAACCUGGAGACCAGUGAUAAUUCUAUUGAAGUA